rnacentral:rRNA from 1 species
GACGAACGCUGGCGGCGUGCUUAACACAUGCAAGUCGAACGGUAAGGCCCUUCGGGGUACACGAGUGGCGAACGGGUGAGUAACACGUGGGUGAUCUGCCCUGCACUUCGGGAUAAGCCUGGGAAACUGGGUCUAAUACCGGAUAGGACCCUGGGAUGCAUGUCCUGGGGUGGAAAGCUUUUGCGGUGUGGGAUGGGCCCGCGGCCUAUCAGCUUGUUGGUGGGGUGAUGGCCUACCAAGGCGACGACGGGUAGCCGGCCUGAGAGGGUGACCGGCCACACUGGGACUGAGAUACGGCCCAGACUCCUACGGGAGGCAGCAGUGGGGAAUAUUGCACAAUGGGCGCAAGCCUGAUGCAGCGACGCCGCGUGAGGGAUGACGGCCUUCGGGUUGUAAACCUCUUUCAGCACCGACGAAGCGCAAGUGACGGUAGGUGCAGAAGAAGGACCGGCUAACUUCGUGCCAGCAGCCGCAGUAA